rnacentral:rRNA from 1 species
CGGGAUUCCCUGAGUAAGGGCGACUGAAACGGGACCUAGCCCAGCGCAUAACCUCGCGGUUCGGACAGAGCCGACGAGGGGUGUUGCGUAUCGGUGGAUCCGUCCCGCUCGUGCUCUACCGCCUAAGUCCAAGUAAGAGGCCCGUGUGGCGGCGCCCGCAAGGGCUACUAGAGCGCGGGCGGAGGGAUCGCUUCACCGGAGAGUCGGGUUGCUUAAUACUGCAGCCCUAAGAGAGGUGGUAAACUCCAUCUAAGGCUAAAUACAACCACGAGUCCGAUAGGAGACAAGUACCGUGAGGGAAAGUUGAAAAGGACUUUGAAGAGAGAGUUCAAGAGUACGUGAAGCCGUUAGAAGCUUAAACGGGUGGAACCGCGAAGGUCGAACGAGGGCACUCACCUCGUCGGGCGGGCGGGACCUGGGGAGCUCCGACAGUCAGGCGCCGAUGUCCAAAGUGUGAGCGCAGGAGCACCCUGUCCGUCGCGUCCCGUUCCGGCGGGCGUAUUUGUCCCUCCAGUAGGGAACGCCGCGAGCCGUGGCGGGGACCAGAAGGCCCACGUAGCCCGGAUUGGUACCCUCGGUCCGGAGGGGAAACCGCGGCUGGGAGUUGCUUGGUGGCCCUGCCACGGCUUGGCCCAGGGCAGCACUACGCUGCCUCGCGGCGGAGAACGAAGUCGGUGAUCCACCUGACCCGUCUUGAAACACGGACCAAGGAGUCUAACAAGUGUGCGAGUCUAAGGGUCCGUCGAGACCCGGAGGCGCAAUGAAAGUGAGUGAGAAAUGCAGGCCGAUCCCCCGCGGAGACGCGGGGGCGCAGGCCGGGGACUUGCCGCUCAGCGGCCGUCGACGGCCUCCCUCGGGGGGCUCCGGCGGUCCGCUGGCAAGUACCUCCAGAGCACACGCGUUGGGACCCGAAAGAUGGUGAACUAUGCCUGGCCAGGACGAAGCCAGAGGAAACUCUGGUGGAGGUCCGAACCAGUUCUGACGUGCAAAUCGAUUGUCAGAGCUGGGUAUAGGGGCGAAAGACUAAUCGAACCA